AUAUCUUUCUGUACGGGAAGGAUGAGAAGCUUCGACUAAGGUUCGAUUCGAGCGCAGCGAGAAAGCGUUGCCGCAGGCAACGACC
rnacentral:sRNA from 1 species